rnacentral:rRNA from 1 species
GAUGAACGCUGGCGGCGUGCCUAAUACAUGCAAGUCGAGCGAACAGACGAGGAGCUUGCUCCUUUGACGUUAGCGGCGGACGGGUGAGUAACACGUGGGUAACCUACCUAUAAGACUGGGAUAACUUCGGGAAACCGGAGCUAAUACCGGAUAAUAUUUCGAACCGCAUGGUUCGAUAGUGAAAGAUGGCUUUGCUAUCACUUAUAGAUGGACCUGCGCCGUAUUAGCUAGUUGGUAAGGUAACGGCUUACCAAGGCAACGAUACGUAGCCGACCUGAGAGGGUGAUCGGCCACACUGGAACUGAGACACGGUCCAGACUCCUACGGGAGGCAGCAGUAGGGAAUCUUCCGCAAUGGGCGAAAGCCUGACGGAGCAACGCCGCGUGAGUGAUGAAGGUCUUCGGAUCGUAAAACUCUGUUAUUAGGGAAGAACAAACGUGUAAGUAACUGUGCACGUCUUGACGGUACCUAAUCAGAAAGCCACGGCUAACUACGUGCCAGCAGCCGCGGUAAUACGUAGGUGGCAAGCGUUAUCCGGAAUUAUUGGGCGUAAAGCGCGCGUAGGCGGUUUUUUAAGUCUGAUGUGAAAGCCCCACGGCUCAACCGUGGAGGGUCAUUGGAAACUGGAAAACUUGAGUGCAGAAGAGGAAAGUGGAAUUCCAUGUGUAGCGGUGAAAUGCGCAGAGAUAUGGAGGAACACCAGUGGCGAAGGCGACUUUCUGGUCUGUAACUGACGCUGAUGUGCGAAAGCGUGGGGAUCAAACAGGAUUAGAUACCCUGGUAGUCCACGCCGUAAACGAUGAGUGCUAAGUGUUAGGGGGUUUCCGCCCCUUAGUGCUGCAGCUAACGCAUUAAGCACUCCGCCUGGGGAGUACGACCGCAAGGUUGAAACUCAAAGGAAUUGACGGGGACCCGCACAAGCGGUGGAGCAUGUGGUUUAAUUCGAAGCAACGCGAAGAACCUUACCAAAUCUUGACAUCCUUGACCCUUCUAGAGAUAGAAGUUUCUCCUUCGGGGGACAAAGUGACAGGUGGUGCAUGGUUGUCGUCAGCUCGUGUCGUGAGAUGUUGGGUUAAGUCCCGCAACGAGCGCAACCCUUAAGCUUAGUUGCCAUCAUUAAGUUGGGCACUCUAAGUUGACUGCCGGUGACAAACCGGAGGAAGGUGGGGAUGACGUCAAAUCAUCAUGCCCCUUAUGAUUUGGGCUACACACGUGCUACAAUGGACAAUACAAAGGGCAGCGAAACCGCGAGGUCAAGCAAAUCCCAUAAAGUUGUUCUCAGUUCGGAUUGUAGUCUGCAACUCGACUACAUGAAGCUGGAAUCGCUAGUAAUCGUAGAUCAGCAUGCUACGGUGAAUACGUUCCCGGGUCU